rnacentral:rRNA from 1 species
AUCCGGCGCAGGCGUAGGAAAUUUGAGAAGACCUGUCCUUAGUACGAGAGGACCGGGAUGGACGUACCUCUGGUGUACCAGUUGUCCUGCCAAGGGCAUGGCUGGGUAGCUAUGUACGGAAUGGAUAAGCGCUGAAAGCAUCUAAGCGCGAAGCCAACUUCAAGAUAAGAUUUCCCACCGCAAGGGUAAGACCCCAGAAAGACUAUCUGGUUGAUAGGUCGAAGGUGUAAGUGCAGCAAUGUAUUUAGCUUAUCGAUACUAAUAGGUCGAGGACUUGACCAAU